rnacentral:rRNA from 1 species
AAAAUGGAGAGUUUGAUCCUGGCUCAGGAUGAACGCUGGCGGUAUGCUUAACACAUGCAAGUCGAACGGUCUUUUAGGAGACAGUGGCGGACGGGUGAGUAACGCGUAAGAAUCUACCUUCAGGUUGGGGACAACCACUGGAAACGGUGGCUAAUACCGAAUGUGCCGAGAGGUGAAAGGCUUGCUGCCUGAAGAAGAGCUUGCGUCUGAUUAGCUAGUUGGUAGUGUAAGAGACUACCAAGGCGACGAUCAGUAGCUGGUCUGAGAGGAUGAUCAGCCACACUGGGACUGAGACACGGCCCAGACUCCUACGGGAGGCAGCAGUGGGGAAUUUUCCGCAAUGGGCGAAAGCCUGACGGAGCAAUACCGCGUGAGGGAGGAAGGCUCUUGGGUUGUAAACCUCUUUUCUCAGGGAAGAACAGAAUGACGGUACCUGAGGAAUAAGCAUCGGCUAACUCCGUGCCAGCAGCCGCGGUAAUACGGAGGAUGCAAGCGUUAUCCGGAAUGAUUGGGCGUAAAGGGUCCGCAGGUGGCAUUGUAAGUCUGCUGUUAAAGAGUUUGGCUCAACCAAAUAAGAGCAGUGGAAACUACAAAGCUAGAGUGUGGUCGGGGCAGAGGGAAUUCCUGGUGUAGCGGUGAAAUGCGUAGAUAUCAGGAAGAACACCAGUGGCGAAGGCGCUCUGCUAGGCCGAGACUGACACUGAGGGACGAAAGCUAGGGGAGCGAAUGGGAUUAGAUACCCCAGUAGUCCUAGCCGUAAACGAUGGAUACUAGGCGUAGCUCGUAUCGACCCGAGCUGUGCCGGAGCUAACGCGUUAAGUAUCCCGCCUGGGGAGUACGCAGGCAACUGUGAAACUCAAAGGAAUUGACGGGGGCCCGCACAAGCGGUGGAGUAUGUGGUUUAAUUCGAUGCAACGCGAAGAACCUUACCAAGGCUUGACAUGUCACGAAUCCUAUUGAAAGAUGGGAGUGCCUUCGGGAGCGUGAACACAGGUGGUGCAUGGCUGUCGUCAGCUCGUGUCGUGAGAUGUUGGGUUAAGUCCCGCAACGAGCGCAACCCUCGUUUUUAGUUGCCAGCAUUAAGAUGGGCACUCUAGAGAGACUGCCGGUGACAAACCGGAGGAAGGUGGGGAUGACGUCAAGUCAGCAUGCCCCUUACGCCUUGGGCUACACACGUACUACAAUGCUCCGGACAAAGGGCAGCUACACAGCGAUGUGAUGCGAAUCUCAUAAACCGGAGCUCAGUUCAGAUCGAAGGCUGCAACUCGCCUUCGUGAAGGAGGAAUCGCUAGUAAUUGCAGGUCAGCAUACUGCAGUGAAUUCGUUCCCGGGCCUUGUACACACCGCCCGUCACACCAUGGAAGUUGGUCACGCCCGAAGUCGUUACCCCAACCUGUUGGAGGGGGAUGCCUAAGGUAGGACUGAUGACUGGGGUGAAGUCGUAACAAGGUAGCCGUACCGGAAGGUGUGGCUGGAUCACCUCCUUUU